UUUUCUUCAUACCUUUCUCCUUCUUCCUCCAUGGAAAAUCGGCUAAAUCACUCAAAUCUUCUGUGUUAUUCGCUUCAAAUACAGCAUCAAUCGCUAAAAUUCAUCUUCAAUCACUGAAAUUCGCUUCAUUCAUUCAAAUCCCUCCAAAUACAUAUUCAUUCGUUCAAAUCACCCUAAAUUCAACUUCAUUUGUUCAAAUCCAGCAUCAAUCACUCAAUCCAACUUCAACCUUCCAUCGCUCAAAUCCCGUUUUUGCAUAUUUUGGGUAAAAGAACUCUUUGAUCGUAAUUAUAUAUUUUUGGAAUGAGCAAAGGAACCAUAUGUUUUGUAUCAAUAUACUACGUAUUUGUAUUUAUUGGUUAAGUUUUUUUUGUCAAAGAUGAGCAGCUAGUUAUAGGUUUUCGUUGAUAGAAGUGAUGAUUUUUCCCCAGAUGAAUGACGUUGAUAUUACUGUGCGAUUUAGUUCUCAUUAGAGAAAUCAAGCUGAUUAAUUUGAUCCAUCUUUUGUUACAAACAUUUUCUAGAAGUUUCGAAUUGUCAAUUAUUGAAAUGUUUAUUAUUGAUUUUGAUUGAUUGCUAAUUAUUUAAUUUAAGUAGAGAAGUCCUAGUAAAUUUAGUUUCUUUCAACUUUUAAAAUUGAAAAAAAGGUUUGGCUAAUGGUUUAUUAAGUCUAUACUGGAAUUGGAGAAUUGAGCAAAGGGGUAUGUGGUCUCUAAUUAUUUAGAUGCUUUCUCCACACAUUAAAGUUAAAAGUAGGAGUUUAAUGCUUGCAAUGCUUUCUGUGUGGAUGGCAAGUUUGGUUCUUCUGUUAUAAAUUUUUCAUUGAUCAUGUUUCAUAUGUAGUGUUGUGCUGCUAAUAUUAAUUUGAAAAACAUAUCAUUGUAGGAAGCUGCUACUAAAAGAAUGACAACCACAAAGAAAAAAGAAUUUAUGUCAUAGGUGAAAGAUCUCUGCAAGGUUCAUCCUCCUAAUCUG
rnacentral:lncRNA from 1 species